ensembl:lncRNA
GGCCACCACCUGCAUUAAGCAUGUUACCCCACUUUUCCACCAAGGCACCUGCAAGUUCCCGGACAUUUCUGGGGGGAACGGCCCUAGCCCUCACCCUCCGAUUCAACAGGCCCCAGAUGUGCUCAAUGGGAUUGAGAUCCGGGCUCUUUGCUGGCCAUGGCAGAACACUGACAUUCCGGUCUUGCAGGAAAUCAUGCACAGAACGAGCAGUAUGGCUGGUGGCAUUGUCAUGAGGGAGGGUCAUUUCAGGAUGAGCCUGCAGGAAGGGUACCACAUGAGGGAGGAGGAUGUUUUCGCUGUAAUGCACAGCGUUGAGAUUGCCUGCAAUGACAACAAGCUCAGUCCGAUGAUGCUGUGACACACCACCCAGACCAUGACGGACCCUCCACCUCCAAAUCAAUCCCGCUCCAGAGUACAGGCCUCGGUGUAACGCUCAUUCCUUCGAAGAUAAACGCAAAUCCGACCAUCACCCCUGGUGAGACAAAACCACGACUCGUCAGCGGUCCAGCGACGGUGGGUUUGUGCCCAUAGGUGACGUUGUUGCCGGUGAUGUCUGGUGAGGACCUGCCUUACAACAGGCCUACAAGCCCUCAGUCCAGCCUCUCUCAGCCUAUUGUGGACAGUCUGCGCACUGAUGGAGGGAUUAUGCAUUCCUGUACCUGUCCAGCAGGUGUGAUGUUCGGAUGUACUGAUCCUGUGCAGAUGUUGUUAAACAUGGUCUGCCACUCCGAGGACUAUCAGCUGUCCAUCCUGUCUCCCUGUAGCGCUGUCUUAGGCGUCUCACAGUACGGACAUUGCAAUUUAUUUCCCUGGCCACAUCUGCAGUCCUCAUGCCCUCCUUGCAGCAUGCCUAAGGCAUGUACACGCAGAUGAGCAGGGACCCUGGGCAUCUUUCUUUUGGUGUUUUUCAGAGUCAGUAGAAAGGCCUCUAUAGUGUCCUAAGUUUUCAGAACUGUGACCUUAAUUGCCUACAGUCUGUAGGCUGUUACACGGAUCCCAAACCGUCUGCUCCCCCUACACCAAACGUGAUCACGACACGCAGGUUAAAAUAUCAAAACAAACUCUGAACCAAUUACAUUAAUUUGGGGACAGGUCGAAAAGCAUUAAACAUGUAUGGCAAUUUAGCUAGUUAGCUUGCACUUGCUAGCUAAUUUGUCCUAUUUUGCUAGCUUGCUGUUGCUAGCUAAUUUGUCUUGGGAUAUAAACAUUGAGUUGUUAUUUUACCUGAAAUGUACAAGGUCUUUUACUCUGACAAUUAAUCCACACAUAAAACGGCCAACCGAAUCGUUUCUAGUCAUCUCUCCUCCUUCCAGGCUUUUUCAUAUUUGGACUUUUAUCGUGAUUGGCAUCUACACUUUACAACAACAACCGGCAAAACCUUUCAAUCACCCAUGUGGGUAUAACCAAUGAGGAGAUGGCACGUGGGUACCUGCUUCUAUAAACCAACGAGGAGAUGGGAGAGGCAGGACUUGCAGCGCGAUCUGCGUCAGAAAUAGGAAUUACUUAUAUUUUAGCCCUUGAAGUCGCAGACGCUCGUUGGCGCGUGCGAGCAGUGUGGAUGCAAUAAUUGAAUAACAUGGAUUUCUACAUUUAUUUUGCAACGCUCGCUCACGCGGCGUGUCUGGUUUGGUCAGCAUGUUAGAAUCACCUUUGGCAGCGAUUACACCUGUGAGUCUUUUGUAGGGAUGCAUGAUAUAUCGGUGAACAUCAGCCGAUCAGAAUCGGCUGAUAUUAGCUAAAAAUGCCAACAUCAGUAUCGGCCGAUGUCUAGUUUAAUGCCGAUGUGCAAAACCGAUGUCAAAGCUGACGUGCAUACCUAUAUAACGUAGGUACAUGACGUAAUAACGCAAUAUAAAAUUUUGCGCUACACGUGCAACACAGCAUUCCUAACCUAGCCCACAAUGUCUGCUGUGUGGAUUGAGCAGUCAACAAGUCGAGCAGUCAUUUGAAAGAGUAAGAACAUUUCAGCAAGACAACUCAAAAGGCGAAAUCCAUUAAAGCCACGAUAAUGGAAUUCAUUGCCCUUGAUCAACCGUUCGUUCUCUGUCGUGGGUGAUGUUGGCUUUCGCUGACUGGUCGAGCACAGGUACACACUACCAAGUGCGCUAUUUUUCAGAUGUUGCACUACCGGAUUUACACAGUAAUAGCGCCACUGUUAUUAGCUUCACGACAUACAUACCAUGGAACGCCGUUUGGGUCUUUGCGUGUCAAAAAAGACACAGUAGCACUGUCAAAGAUAUACAAAAAAGUCUGCAAACACCGGCCACGAACGAUGUGUUUACAAUAACUCAUUGGUAAUAAAGCAUAAUUUGUUCGACCGCAACUUCUGGGGUAGCUAUCUUUAGCUUGAUAACUAGCUAGCACCAAUACAACCAGCCUCAAAACAAUGACCAGUAGAAACUGCAGUCAUUUUCAUUAUUCUUAGCAAUGAUUUAGGAAUCCUUGUGAGUAAGUAUUUUUGUAUGCCUAUUGAAAUUGAACUUCAGUUCAUGAAAAUAAAUAGCUAGCCAGCUACUUAACCCUGUUGCUCAAAGCUAACAUUAUAGCUUCAUCUGGCUAGUGCGGCUCCACCGGACCAGGGUUACGUGUUGUGGAGGGAGCAACAAUAAGGAUUAGGCACAAUAGUGGAAUUUGCGGUUUGUUAUUUUAGAUGAAUAUAGCUACUGAAACAGAUUGUUGUUUUUGUUCUGUUUUUAGGGAAGAACAUUGUUUGCAUCCAUGAGCUAGCUAGCUUUAUUUUAUGACCAGCACUGUAGGUGUGCGAGACAACUUUACCAGCAUCAUAGCAUACGUAUGGAUGAAUAAUUGUGACAUUUGAAAUACGACUGAUUGUGUAAUAACUACAUCAAAAAUGAAUGAACGCAUUAAAUAAUGUGACGUGCAGUCAUAUUCAUGUCCUGAUUGGUCAACAAGCUUAUUUGACCCGUCAAACAGUGUUAUUUGACACGCAAAGACCCAAACGGUGUUCCAUAGCAAAGACCCAAAUGGCGUUCCAUAGAAAUCCUGGUUGAGAAUGAAACCACUGAACAAAUGAACAACAAAAUAGCACAUCAAGUAAGUGAAAGAAACAGGUUUUGAUUAUGUUUUACUGGUAAUGGGGACAUACGUAAAUGCCAACAAAGUAACUUUUUGGUCAGUGUGGAGUGUGUUUAACCUGUAUUUAACUAGGCAAGUCAGUUAAGAACAAAAUAUUAUUUACAAUGACGGCCUACCCCGGCCAAACCUGGACGACGCUGGCAAGGAAAAUGUCAGAUAUUGGUAUCGGCCAAAAAUGUCAUAUUGGUGCUUCACUAGUCUUUUUGAGUAAGUCUCUAAGAGCUUUGCACACCUGGAUUGUACAAUAUUUGCCCAUGUAUACUUUAAUUCUUCAAUCUCUGUCAAGUUGGUUGUUGAUCAUUGCUAGACAGCCAUUUAUAAAUCUAGCCAUAGAUUUCAAGUCGAUUUAAGUCAACUCUAGCUAGGCCACUCAGGAACAUUCAAUGUCGUCUUCGUAAGCAACUCCAGUGUAUAUUUGGACGUGUUUUAGGUUAUUGUCUUACUGGAAGGUGAAUUUGUCUCGCAGUGUCUGUUGGAAAGCAGACUGAACCAGGUUUUCCUCUAGGAUUUUUUUUAUCCCCCAAAAAACUGUCUAGUUCUUGCCGAUGGCGAGCAUAUCCAUAACAUGAUGCAGCCACCACGAUGCUUGAAAAAGUGGUACUCAGUGAUGUGUUGGAUUUACCACAAACAUAACUAAAGUUAAUUUCUUUGCCACAUUUUUUUGCAGUAGUACUUUAGUGCCUUAUUGCAAACAGGAUGCAUGUUUUGGAAUAUUUUUAUUCUGUACAAUCUGUCAUUUAGGUUAGUAUAGUGGAGGAACUACAAUGUUGUUGAUCCAUCCUCAGUUUUCUCCUAUCACAGCCAUUAAACUCUGUAACUGUUUUAAAAGAACCAUUGGCCUCUUGGUGAAAUCUCUGAGCGGUUUCCUUCCUCUCCGGAAACUGAGGUAAGAAGGACGCCUGUAUCUUUGUAGUGACUGGGUGUAUUGAUACACCAUCCAAAGUAUGAUUAAUAACUUCAUCAUGCACAAAGGAAUAUUCAGUGUCUGAUUUUAUUUUAUUUUUACCCAUCUACCAAUGCAAAAACUCUGUUCUUUGUGGUUGAAUCUGUGUUUGAAAUUCUGUACUUGACUGAGGGACCUUACAAAUAUCUGUAUGUGUGGGGUACAGAGAUGGGGUAAUAAUUCCAAAAUAUGUUAGCACUAUUAUUGCUAAUGAGUCCAUGCAGCUUAUUAUGUGACCUGUUAAGCGCAUUUUUACCUGGACUUUUUACCUGAACUUAUUUAGGCUUGACAAAACAAAGUUGUUUUUUUUCUGUAUUCAUUUGUAAAUAUUUCUAAAAACAAAAUUCAGUUUUGACAUUUUGGGGUAUUGUGUGGAUAGUUGGUGACACACAAUCUCAAUUGAAUCCAUUUUAAAUUCUGUCCGUAACAACACAAUUUGGAAAAAGUCAAGGGGUGUGAAUACUUUCUGAAGUCACUGUGCUGAGAAUUUUAGUGGGUAUUGAGGUAAUGAAGUAAAAAAAUAUAUAUAUAUAUAAUACUUGUUUUGCUUACCCACAAACUGCAGUUACUUGUUUUGAGUUGAUUUGGCUCACCUAGAAAAUGCAUCAAGAUAAUUGGUCUUGUUUUAAGAUAUUCUGACUUGUUUCAAUACUUUUCUUUAUGUUAAAGUAAGCAAAAAUAAUGUACAUUUUUUUUAGACAUCAAGUCAUUGCAUUCUUAUGUUAUGAGAUGCCGUAUCUAGGUAAGAUCAACAUUUAUGCAAUGUACAUGUAGUGUACAGGGCCAUAGAUACUCUAUACGGCAAACUUUUGACACCAGACAUAUUUGCCCCCUAAGUGGUGGUUUUCUGGCGAUGGUGACUGGCUGGUCUCAGAUUAACGUGAUUGUGGUGAUUGGCUGAUGGUUUAUGUUUGUGUGUGUGUGGCCUCUCCCUCCUUAGGCAUACUGGUGGUCGUGUGCAGCCCUCCUGGGCCAGGUCCUUCAGGAUUCCUUUAAAGAGGACUUCUCUGUGGAGCUGUUCAGAGUCCCAGAGGUGCUAGUAACUUCAGGAGCAUUCUGCUGUGAUGUGGUGCUGAAUCCUCAGAUGCCUGGAAACCUUCAGAGGUCGAGGUGCCCACAGGAUCAGCCAAUGAAGCCGUUUCAGAUACAUUGACUCCGCCCUCUGCCCCUGAACAGUCUCCUCCUCCUACCGCACAACAAGGAUCAUGACUAUAACCUUGUCAUUAUAUAUGUAUUUGUAAUAUUUGUGAAAUAAAUGUGUACAAAAUGUAUAAGGUAUGGAAAUCAUCCCCUCUCCACUGUAUACUAAAUGUUUUCUGAAAAUUAAGCGGGUUAUUGGUUUAUGACAGUGUAGCUCAUGUGGUGUAGAAUGAAGUUGCUGAUCUUGGGUCAGUUUUGCAUUUCCCCCACUAAUGAUUGGGGUAGGUGAUCCUAGAUCUGUACAUAAUAGCUGAUAUGGAAUCAAAGUCUUGUUGUGCAGAACGUAACUGGUUUGCACCCAGUGAGGGACAGAACCUACUCGGUUGCCACAGCAC